UACGUAGGGGGCUAGCGUUGUCCGGAUUUAUUGGGCGUAAAGAGUUCGUAGGCGGCUCGGUAAGUGAGGUUUGAAAACUCCAGGCUCAACCUGGAGACGCCACCUCAUACUGCUGUGGCUAGAGUCCGGUAGGGGAGCAUGGAAUUCCUGGUGUAGCGGUGAAAUGCGCAGAUAUCAGGAGGAACACCAGUGGCGAAGGCGGUGCUCUGGGCCGGAACUGACGCUGAGGAGCGAAAGCGUGGGGAGCAAACAGG
rnacentral:rRNA from 1 species